rnacentral:lncRNA from 1 species
UCUCCUCAGGACAGUUCUGUUUAAGCUGUAUGUCUUCAGACCUUAUCACUUCUACUUCGUAGUCUACCCAUCCGUCCUUGAUGAUUUGCCUCCUCUGGUUUCGGUUGCGUCGUCUUCUUCUCAGAGGGGAAGUGCAUGUGGACUUCUCUAGUUCCAAUAUAGAUGAUAGCUUUGAUAGUGUUGAGGAACGGUCUUCCAAGGAUGAUGGGUGGAUCGUACUCGUCUUCUCCUAUGUCAAUGACCUGAAAAUCAUCUGGAGCUGAAUGUAUGUUGGUUGUAGGGGCAUUGUUCCAUGCUGAAAGUCCUAGUUUGGUUUUGGAUAAUUGAUGAAACCUAUGUGUACUAACCUUUGUC